rnacentral:misc_RNA from 1 species
AUCUCUUUCUACACUCACCUACCUUUAUCUACUGUGAUAAUGUACUAUGAUUUAUAAUACUUGUGUUGGAAAUUUAAUUUUUCUUUGGGUGCUUUGUACGAGGGGAAAAAAUACAAAUGUAAGAGGAAAAUUAAGGUUUUAAUGUCUUGAGUCUCUAUUAGAUGCCACCUAAAUUAGGCGGUAUAAAUUUAAAAAGAAUAACCAAUUUGAUGCUUAGAAUCAGAAUAGUUAUUUUGAAAUGGCAUUAAAAUGGCAAUUCAAAUAAAUUUGCAUAAAAAAAACCAAUCCACACAUAAUUUUGCAGUUCAUCAAUAAGGUUAAUUAAAGGAUGCAUCAGCAAAAUGCUUCCCCAUUUUCACAAUGUCAGCUUUGAUUGAGGGUCAAAUUUGAACUUUCCCAUUGCAAGCAAGGAGGUUGCCCAUGUGGUUUGAUCCAGUGACCUCAAAUUAAAAAUGAAAGAACCUCCAUUGCAACUCAAUAAAGCAAAUAAAAUAGGUCAUCAGUGUAGGGAGUCAACUUAAUUAGAAAGUUGAAUCCUAGCAAAAACAACCCACUUUUUCUUUCUAAUUCUAUCAAGUGAAUUUAUA